ACUCUGGGGCUAUACUUCUAUAUGGUUUCUCUGUGAUUUCUUGAUGGUGGUGCCUCAUCCACUGUACAUGUGGCAUACACGGUCACUCGGUUCUAAUGAGGAUGUAUCAUCUCCUGAAAUCACACUUAUUGGAUGUAUGUAGCCAUCCAAUUUGCAUCCAACAUAUGCCUAAGAGGAAAAAUGGUCAAAUGUCCAAAUUAAUUGGAUGUAUGGGUAAGAUCAGUCACUCGGUGUGAUUUUUGGGAUUUGUUGUACCCACAGUGGGGCUGACUAUUUUGGUGGUUGGCAUUGAAAUACAUAUACACCACAUUCCACGUGUAUGGUGGAUGAGUAACCGCCAUCCAACAAGUGUGGAGGUCAUGCAGUGGUUUAGUUUCACUCAUCUUACAUUGGCCUCUCAUAUAUACAUAUCACUCACUAAUUUCUUAGGUUUUUCAGGUGGACUGCCUUGUAUGUAGCUACUGUUUUUGUUACAUUGGUUCAAUAGAACUUCAGAUUGGUAGGAAACUCUAUUUGCAAUCUCUAGGAUUACCAACAAAUACAAAACAUGAUCAGGAGACAUCUUCAUAGAUGCCAAAGCGCUUCAUUGUUGUAUGAAUCAUCAAGUAUCCAGUGUUAGAUGCUAAUAUCUUAGUUAUGUCAGAUUGCUGAAGCUGCAUGUUGAAUUCUAAUCUUGAAGGCUUUAGAACCUGAGCCCUCCUUCCACCAACAUAUCCAUCACCAUUUGGCAUUCUUGCCAGACAUUGCAUCAAGCCUUGUGUCACCCCAUUUGCACAUGAGCCAUGUCCACUAGUGCAGGGUGACAGUUGCAUUGCCUUAGCAUCGGAAAUGGUAAGAAGGCAAGCUUUAUUUCUAGGUGACUCGGAGCUGCAACAAAUGCUUCACAUCUUCAGGUACUUGUUGAAUAUUGAGUUGCAAAUUUUACUUUUGAAAAUGAUGCUGAAUGAGAUUGACUUUACUUAUGAACUUUCUUGUUGGUCAUUUUAUAUGUGUUGGUAGCCAACGCCCAAUUCCUAUGGACAACAUUGGAGUGGCCUGGCCAUUUGGACAGGUCGUGUUUAUGUAUUUGCUCAAAAUUAAUGGAGCAGACCCGGAUGUGCGUUGGAGCUAUCCGGAUGAGCGGGGGUCCCUAUAAGGUGGGAACUGCUGUUAUGACCAUGAUGAAG